rnacentral:rRNA from 1 species
UACGGAAUGUGCAAACGUUAUUCGGAAUCACUGGGCGUAAAGGGCGUGUAGGCGGUCCGCUAAGUCUGAUGUGAAAGCCCGGGGCUCACCCCCGGAAGUGCAUUGGAAACUGGCGGACUCGAGUCCCGGAGAGGAGAGUGGAAUUCCUGGUGUAGCGGUGAAAUGCGUAGAUAUCAGGAGGAACACCGGUGGCGAAGGCGGCUCUCUGGACGGUGACUGACGCUGAGACGCGAAAGCGUGGGGAGCAAACAGG